rnacentral:misc_RNA from 1 species
CAAUUGUUUGUCGAAGGAAUGGAAGAGUUCAAUGAUGAUUUUGGGAUUGUCCCUUGGGAAAGAUCAUCAACAUACAGGACUUUUACCAAACAAUCAUGCAGGUUAGCCAGAAUCCAGGGAACUCUUCUGCAAAAUCAAAUUUUUAGAGAGUUGUGUUUGCAGAGACAGUGAAAAUGAGCUCUGUUAAAAUGUUUAAAAUAUGUGGGAAAAUGUUUCUCAUUUGUUGUGCUGUUUCGCCCUGGGAAGAAAUGUGGGUCACUUUUUGCAUUCAUAUUCUUGAUUCUACACAAAUUAUGUAACUCGUGUUGGGUUAGACAAGUGUAGGUACAUUGCAGCAGAGAUUAUAGAUACUGCUGCAAGAAUCUGUGUUCAAGAGCUUGCUAUGAGAGAUAUAUGUGUUGAAAUCUCAGAGAGUGCAGUUAGAUUAGGGAUUCUGUUUGCCUGUAUAUCAAUUUUAGCUGUGAUGAUUUCGGGAUUGCAAAUUAAAGGUUAAAUUAUCUCAAAAAAAA